UGUUGAAAAUGAUGAUAUUUCCAUGCACCACUCUGAAUGCUUUCUUUAAGCAAAGUGCAGAUUAUGGAUUUUCUGAUUAAAC